rnacentral:rRNA from 1 species
CUGGCGGCGUGCCUAAUACAUGCAAGUCGAACGGUCUUUCUAUGGAAGCUUGCUUCCACUGAGAAGAUAGUGGCGAACGGGUGAGUAACACGUGGGUAACCUGCCCAUAAGAGGGGGAGUAACAUCCGGAAACGGGUGCUAAUACCGCAUAGUUUUCUUGGUCGCGAUGAUCGGGAAAGGAAAGACGGCCUUUGUGCUGUCGCUUAUGGAUGGACCCGCGGCGUAUUAGUUAGUUGGUGAGGUAACGGCUCACCAAGACGAUGAUACGUAGCCGACCUGAGAGGGUGAUCGGCCACAUUGGGACUGAGACACGGCCCAAACUCCUACGGGAGGCAGCAGUAGGGAAUCUUCCGCAAUGGACGAAAGUCUGACGGAGCAACGCCGCGUGAGUGAAAGAAGGUUUUCGGAUCGUAAAACUCUGUUGUCAGAGAAGAACAAGUUGGAGAGUAACUGCUCCAGCCUUGACGGUAUCUGACCAGAAAGCCACGGCUAACUACGUGCCAGCCGCCGC